rnacentral:rRNA from 1 species
UCCAGAAUAGCUCUUGGAAACGGGUGGUAAUGCUGGAUGCUCCAACUUGACGCAUGUCUUGUUGGGAAAGUGUUUAGUGGCAUGGGAUGGGGUCGCGUCCUAUCAGCUUGUAGGCGGGGUAAUGGCCCACCUAGGCUUCGACGGGUAGCCGGCCUGAGAGGGCGGACGGCCACAUUGGGACUGAGAUACGGCCCAGACUCCUACGGGAGGCAGCAGCA